ensembl:lncRNA
CAUCCCUGGUCUCAGUUUAAAGCCGUUCCCCCUUGUCCUAUCACUAUAUACCCACAUAAACAAACAUACUUGUUCUUAUCUGUAGGCUUCCGUAAAGUAUUGGAAGAUAAAAGAGGAAAAAAAAAUCAAACAAGAGGAAGGAAAAGAAGGCUAGAGAGAGUGAAAAGAUGGGUAUUUGUGUGUAAUUCCAGUGGAUAAUUUAAGACGUGCCUUCACUUAAGAUUUUAGGACAUGGGAUUCUGAAGGUUAAGUUGCUAUUGUUACUGCACUUAAUGCCAAAAUGCCUAAUUGCGUUUUCCUUCAUUUGCAGGAGCUGCUGCAGGAGGAAGGCGGCAAAGCGGUGCGUGGACCUGGGAGGAAGGAGCGAGCAAGAAGAGGAGCCGGAGCCUGCGGAUGGGCCAAGGAGAGGCGCCCUGGGCAAAAGCAUCUCCCUGUCACCAGGGACACAGUCAUGUUGCAGUAGAGCUUUGCCGGCACUCUGGAUGACCGGGCCGGCUUUGUGCUGGGCGACCUCCCUGUAACCAGGGCUCGGGUCUUUGCUGUAGUUGGCCUUUUGCCUCGUUGCUCCUUUGGCUGCCUGGGGAACGUGGGCCCCUGUAGGAAGGGCGAGAGCCACGUCCUCCGCACCCGAGUGGGGAAAUGGAGCUCGCUGGACCCCACGGCCCCCUGUAAGCAGGGUAGUGCCGUUUCCCUGCCGCUCUUGGUUUGGCCGCUCGGCGUUGUUGCCUGCUGGUGGCCUUGCCCGUGUGAUGACCCUGUACUCGGGGUGCUUGUUCUGCUAUAUGGCCUUGGGCCUUUACGUGAGAAGCCCCGUGGCACGUUGAGGUCUGUGGCCUCCGUGCAGCCUGGGGGCGGGUCAGAGGCUCUUGUCUGCUUGCUCGCGGGGUACGGGGUUUUUUUUCCCCAGGCCUUGGCUGCACUGCCUUCUCCUUCCCUUCUGGAAAGCUGGUAUCUGUGUGUGUGCGUUCCCCUUCCUUCCCUUGUUUGUGUUUGCGUGUGAGCGAUGGUGCGAUUGAACCUUCCCUUUAGGCCUCCAUGAAAACAGCUGCAGCUUAGCUUUGGCUUCCCGGGGGGGAAUGGAGGACUUGGUGGAUGCAGCAAGGGGGAUGUUCCCUCUCAGUCCCGCGAGCGGCGCGAGUGUCCUCCUGUCUUGCCCCCUUUUUUUGCUAGGACGUUGCGGAGCCGUGUGGUAGUUGUGGGGCUGAGGCCACCCUGUAUCCAGGGCUUGGGUCUGUGCCUGUGAGGCCGCCUGUGCUGCUGGUGAAGUGCCAGUGUGACAGCCCUGUACUCGGGGCAUUUGUCGUGAGCUGUGGAGCCCUCUGUCCCCAGAGCAGCCCGCCCUCCUGUAAGCAGGUUUGGGAGGCUGCGUUGUUGCGGCCGGCUGCUUUAGGCAGCGUGUGGGAGCGACCCCUCCCUGGCCCGAUAGAGGGUGCAGGUUGAGGUGCUGCUUGUGGCUGGGGCGGCCUCCCCGCUGUGUGGGUUGAGGCUGCUGCCUGGGCUCCUGAAGAUGUGGUGAUGGUGCUGCAGCUGGGCGGGCCGGCCCGUACCUCGGGCGUUGGCGGGAGCUGCGUGCUCCGUGGGGCUUUCUGGAGAUGGUGAGGCGUGGGGUGCCGUCCUGUAGGCAGGGCUGCGCGUGCCCGUUGCGCUUGGCGAGAUGUGUUCUGAGGGACCCCCUGUACUCGGGCGGGUAUCGCUGGCCCGGCCUCCUGGAGGCGCGGUGCUGAGAGACGUGGGGCUGGGAUUCUGUGCUCGGCCUUUGGCCGUGCCGCCCCACUGCCUGGCUGCUGAGUGUCGUUCCUGCCGCUGAGGGGGAAACCGAGCUCUGUGGCUCCUGGGUGUCGCCGCCCCGCCUGUAAUCAGGGUCUGGAGGUGAGAGCCUUUGUGCUCUGCUGGCAGCAUGUGUGGGGCGACCGCCUCGUUAGCGGGGUGCUGGUCAAGAUGCCCCUGGCUGGGAGAGAGGGAGCCUCCCUUGGCCUCUGGGACCUGGGCUGCCCUGUAAGUCAGGGUGUGGCGAUGCCCUUGAGUCCCAGGCCCUUUGCGAUGGAUGCGGCGGGUUGGGGCGCCCUGUAAGCAGGGGAGCCGACCCUCAGCCCGCUGCUUUGUGUGCCCAGCCUUCUUUGCCCAGGGUGCCCCCCUCUGCGGCCUGCUGCAGCACCGUUGGGAACCCCGCGGGGCAUCAGUAGGGAGCUGCUGCAGGAGGAAGGCGGCAAAGCGGUGCGUGGACCUGGGAGGAAGGAGCGAGCAAGAAGAGGAGCCGGAGCCUGCGGAUGGGCCAAGGAGAGGCGCCCUGGGCAAAAGCAUCUCCCUGUCACCAGGGACACAGUCAUGUUGCAGUAGAGCUUUGCCGGCACUCUGGAUGACCGGGCCGGCUUUGUGCUGGGCGACCUCCCUGUAACCAGGGCUCGGGUCUUUGCUGUAGUUGGCCUUUUGCCUCGUUGCUCCUUUGGCUGCCUGGGGAACGUGGGCCCCUGUAGGAAGGGCGAGAGCCACGUCCUCCGCACCCGAGUGGGGAAAUGGAGCUCGCUGGACCCCACGGCCCCCUGUAAGCAGGGUAGUGCCGUUUCCCUGCCGCUCUUGGUUUGGCCGCUCGGCGUUGUUGCCUGCUGGUGGCCUUGCCCGUGUGACGACCCUGUACUCGGGGUGCUUGUUCUGCUAUAUGGCCUUGGGCCUUUACGUGAGAAGCCCCGUGGCACGUUGAGGUCUGUGGCCUCCGUGCAGCCUGGGGGCGGGUCAGAGGCUCUUGUCUGCUUGCUCGCGGGGUACGGGGUUUUUUUUCCCCAGGCCUUGGCUGCACUGCCUUCUCCUUCCCUUCUGGAAAGCUGGUAUCUGUGUGUGUGCGUUCCCCUUCCUUCCCUUGUUUGUGUUUGCGUGUGAGCGAUGGUGCGAUUGAACCUUCCCUUUAGGCCUCCAUGAAAACAGCUGCAGCUUAGCUUUGGCUUCCCGGGGGGGAAUGGAGGACUUGGUGGAUGCAGCAAGGGGGAUGUUCCCUCUCAGUCCCGCGAGCGGCGCGAGUGUCCUCCUGUCUUGCCCCCUUUUUUUGCUAGGACGUUGCGGAGCCGUGUGGUAGUUGUGGGGCUGAGGCCACCCUGUAUCCAGGGCUUGGGUCUGUGCCUGUGAGGCCGCCUGUGCUGCUGGUGAAGUGCCAGUGUGACAGCCCUGUACUCGGGGCAUUUGUCGUGAGCUGUGGAGCCCUCUGUCCCCAGAGCAGCCCGCCCUCCUGUAAGCAGGUUUGGGAGGCUGCGUUGUUGCGGCCGGCUGCUUUAGGCAGCGUGUGGGAGCGACCCCUCCCUGGCCCGAUAGAGGGUGCAGGUUGAGGUGCUGCUUGUGGCUGGGGCGGCCUCCCCGCUGUGUGGGUUGAGGCUGCUGCCUGGGCUCCUGAAGAUGUGGUGAUGGUGCUGCAGCUGGGCGGGCCGGCCCGUACCUCGGGCGUUGGCGGGAGCUGCGUGCUCCGUGGGGCUUUCUGGAGAUGGUGAGGCGUGGGGUGCCGUCCUGUAGGCAGGGCUGCGCGUGCCCGUUGCGCUUGGCGAGAUGUGUUCUGAGGGACCCCCUGUACUCGGGCGGGUAUCGCUGGCCCGGCCUCCUGGAGGCGCGGUGCUGAGAGACGUGGGGCUGGGAUUCUGUGCUCGGCCUUUGGCCGUGCCGCCCCACUGCCUGGCUGCUGAGUGUCGUUCCUGCCGCUGAGGGGGAAACCGAGCUCUGUGGCUCCUGGGUGUCGCCGCCCCGCCUGUAAUCAGGGUCUGGAGGUGAGAGCCUUUGUGCUCUGCUGGCAGCAUGUGUGGGGCGACCGCCUCGUUAGCGGGGUGCUGGUCAAGAUGCCCCUGGCUGGGAGAGAGGGAGCCUCCCUUGGCCUCUGGGACCUGGGCUGCCCUGUAAGUCAGGGUGUGGCGAUGCCCUUGAGUCCCAGGCCCUUUGCGAUGGAUGCGGCGGGUUGGGGCGCCCUGUAAGCAGGGGAGCCGACCCUCAGCCCGCUGCUUUGUGUGCCCAGCCUUCUUUGCCCAGGGUGCCCCCCUCUGCGGCCUGCUGCAGCACCGUUGGGAACCCCGCGGGGCAUCAGUAGGGAGCUGCUGCAGGAGGAAGGCGGCAAAGCGGUGCGUGGACCUGGGAGGAAGCAGCGGGCAAGAAGAGGGCCCAGGAAGUGAUUACUUUGUUUUAGCUGUUUUUAUUCCUGUUUUCUUUUUCUCCUUGUUUGUGUAAUGUUUGUUUAGUUACUAGCUGUUGAAUGC